GUGAUUAUUGAUUGCUGAAGAACUGUGCUAUAAAUGAAGGAACCAAAAGCUCAGCGCCUCAUCCCCUGUGCCUUUUUGGCUGUUUGGACCGACCUGCCACUCCAGAAAUGGAGAUCUUCACCCUUUUCAACAAACCGAAGAGCCAUCAGAAGUGCCGGCAAUACUACCCUGUCACCAUUCCUCUCCAUGUCUCCAAGAAUGGCCAGACAGUGAGCGGUUUGGACGCCAACUGGUUAGAGCACAUGAGCGACCACUUCCGGAAAGGAGGCAUGCUGGUGAACGCAGUCUUCUACCUUGGAAUAGUGAAUGAUUCCUUACAUGGCUUGACAGAUGGAGUAUUCAUCUUUGAAGCUGUUUCCACAGAAGAUAGCAAAACCAUACAGGGCUAUGAUGCUAUUGUGGUUGAACAAUGGACAGUCCUGGAAGGUGUCGAAGUGCAGACAGACUACGUGCCCCUGCUGAACUCGCUGGCGGCCUAUGGCUGGCAGCUCACCUGUGUGCUACCAACUCCCGUCGUCAAGACUACCAGCGAGGGGAGUGUAUCCACCAAGCAGAUUGUCUUUCUUCAGAGACCGUGUCUACCUCAGAAAAUCAAGAAGAAGGAAUCGAAGUUUCAGUGGCGAUUCUCCAGAGAAGAAAUGCACAACAGGCAGAUGAGGAAAUCAAAAGGUAAACUCAGUGCCAGAGACAAACAACAAGCAGAAGAAAAUGAGAAGAACUUAGAAGACCAGUCUUCCAAAGCUGGAGACAUGGGGAACUGUGUUUCGGGACAGCAGCAGGAGGGUGGAGUCUCCGAGGAGAUGAAGGGCCCUGUCCAAGAGGACAAGGGAGAACAGCUGUCCCCUGGUGGCCUGCUGUGUGGGGUGGGUGUGGAGGGUGAGGCUGUGCAGAAUGGUCCUGCCAGCCACAGCAGGGCCCUGGUGGGGAUUUGCACUGGGCACUCCAAUCCUGGAGAGGAUGCCAGGGACGGGGAUGCUGAGGAAGUCAGAGAGCUUGGUACGGUUGAAGAAAACUGAGUCUUGGGCAAUUUGUGCUAAAACUAGGUGAGUUGCCAAACCCAAGGCAUCUUACCAACAGCUGGUUUGGGGGCUGGUUUCCCUGGUGUUGUGUGUUACCUACCCUUUGGCUUGGCUUGACCUCUCCUUGUGAGCUCACCUGAGCCCUCCCAGGGCCAGGUUCCUGACAGUGUUGGUUUUUGCACAUCCACUGGAAAGGUGUCAUUAAUGACCCAGUGUUAGAAUGCAAGAGGUCAGGUUAUUUCUUCUAGCCCUCAUGGCUGAAGGCCCAGUCCUGGCUCCACCACUCCUCCAGCCAGAGG
rnacentral:sRNA from 1 species